GACGAACGCUGGCGGCGUGCUUAACACAUGCAAGUCGAACGGAGAGGUCCUGCUUUUGUGGUUUGCUCGAGUGGCGAUCGUGUGUGUAACACGUGCGUAACCUUACCUUGACUUUGGGAUAACUUCAGGAAACUGGGGCUAAUACCGGAUAGGAGCUCCUGCUGCAUGGUGGGGGUUGGUCAGUUUCGGCGGUUGGGGAUGGACCCGCGGCUUAUCAGCUUGUCGGUGGGGUGGUGGCAUAUCAAGACUUGGACGGGUACCCGGGCUGCGAGGGUGAGCGGCCACAUUGGGACUGAGAUGAGGCCCAGACUCCUACGGGAGGCAGCGGUGGGGAGGAUUGCACAAUGGGCGGAGGCCUGAUGCAGCAACGCCGCGUGCGGGAUGACGGGCAUCGGGUUGGAAACCACUUCCGCCUGAGAAGAAGAGUGAGUGACGGUAAUGGGUAAAGAAGCACCGGCUAAAUACGUG
rnacentral:rRNA from 1 species